rfam:Salmo salar isolate Sally breed double haploid chromosome ssa15, whole genome shotgun sequence.
UCCCGUGUGGCUCAGUUGGUAGAGCAUGGUGUUUGCAAUGCCAGGGUUGAGGGUUCGAUUCCCACGGGGG